AUUGAACGCUGGCGGCAGGCCUAACACAUGCAAGUCGAACGAGUGGCGGAAGGGGGAGUAAUGUCGGGGAAUCUGCCCGAUGGAGGGGGAUAACUACUGGAAACGGUAGCUAAUAACGCAUCUCGUAGGAUGCGCACAGAUGGGAUUAGCUAGUAGGGGGGGUAAAGGCUCACCUAGGCGACGCUCCCUAGCUGGUCUGAGAGGAUGACCGGCCACACUGGAACUGAGACACGGUCCAGACUCCUACGGGAGGCAGCAGUGGGGAAUAUUGCACAAUGGGCGCAAGCCUGAUACAGCCAUGCCGCGUGUAUGAAGAAGGCCUUCGGGUUGUAAAGUACUUUCAGCGGGGAGGCGUUACCCGCAGAAGAAGCACCGGCUAACUCCGUGCCAGCCGCCGCGGUAAUAC
rnacentral:rRNA from 1 species